UUUGAAAGAGAGUAAAAUAGUACGUGAAAUUGUUGAAAGGGAAACGAUUGAAGUCAGUCGUACCACGGAAAAUCAACUUUUUGAGUGCGGACUUGUGGGUUUACGUGAGCUUUACGGGCCUCGUGUUUGCAAUGUUCGUUCUUUUUGGGUGUACUUUUUCGUAUGGUUGGCCAAUAUCAGUUCGAUCACUAUAAAAUGACCGGCGGAAUGUAGCUUCGAUCUCGUAUUGAAGUGUUAUAGCUCUGGUAGAUGUGGUGAUUGGGACUGAGGAUUGCAACGAAUACCUUCUGGGCUAUCCGUUGAUCUCUGAAAGUUGCUUAGGUGCCGAAAGCGUGCUUAUGACUAUUCGAGUUGGCGGUAAUAGGAUAGAACGUGAUUAUAUUCGUUAAGGAUGUGUUGACGUAAUGGCUUUAAACGA
rnacentral:rRNA from 1 species